rnacentral:rRNA from 1 species
UACGAAGGGUGCAAGCGUUAAUCGGAAUUACUGGGCGUAAAGGGUGCGUAGGCGGUUCGCUAAGUCUGUUGUGAAAUCCCCGGGCUCAACCUGGGAAUGGCAAUGGAUACUGGCGGGCUAGAGUGUGUCAGAGGAUGGUGGAAUUCCCGGUGUAGCGGUGAAAUGCGUAGAGAUCGGGAGGAACAUCAGUGGCGAAGGCGGCCAUCUGGGACAACACUGACGCUGAAGCACGAAAGCGUGGGGAGCAAACAGG